rnacentral:tRNA from 1 species
GCAGAUGUGGCGGAAUUGGCAUACGCGCAAGUUUCAGGUACUUGUGAGGCAACUCUUGAGAGUUCAAAUCUCUCCAUCUGCACCA